rnacentral:rRNA from 1 species
AGUGAACGCUGGCGGUAGGCCUAACACAUGCAAGUCGAACGGCAGCACAGUAAGAGCUCGCUCUUACGGGUGGCGAGUGGCGGACGGGUGGGGAAUACAUCGGAAUCUACUUUUUCGUGGGGGAUAACGUAGGGAAACUUACGCUAAUACCGCAUACGACCUACGGGUGAAAGCAGGGGAUCUUCGGACCUUGCGCGAUUGAAUGAGCCGAUGUCGGAUUAGCUAGUUGGCGGGGUAAAGGCCCACCAAGCCGACGAUCCGUAGCUGGUCUGAGAGGAUGAUCAGCAACACUGGACCUGAGACACGGUCCAGACUCCUACGGGAGGCAGAAGUGGGGAAUAUUGGACAAUGGGGGAAAGCCUGAUCCAGCCAUACCGCGUGGGUGAGGAAGGCCUUCGGGUUGUAAAGCCCUUUUGUUGGGAAAGAAAAGCAGCAGGUUAAUAACCCGCUGUUCUGACGGUACCCAAAGAAUAAGCACCGGCUAACUUCGUG